AUUUCACAACUCACUUCCCGUUUCAAUUUUAGAGCUCCCGCAGAUGUCAUUCCUCCUCACUUUGGACAAAUGUACGACAGCAAUUCUCAGAAGAAGGGGCUAAGAACGCCAAUGCGAAAGCUGGGACUCAAACGCAGCAGGUCCUCCGAGCUCCGACAGCGGCUGCGGUUACAUGAAGCCGCAGCGUUACGGGCGCGAGACGCAAGCAUGUCGGGAACACGGAAGGAAAGCCGAGCGGGGAACACUUACUUGGGGUUGGUGCGGUUCCAGAAGACGGCGUAGCGGUCGGACACCACUUUGGAAGCCGGGUCCUGAGCGCACACCCCGACGACGAUGACGAGAAAGAACAGCAUUUCCACAUGCGGCAUGUUUGCGACGAAGCCAAAGCGACGGCAGUCCCGGUUUGAUUUCAAGGUUCUGACGGAUGUGCUUGCAAGUCAAGUUCGUUUAGCCCCUGAAGUUACUUCAUACGUCUCCGUCUCUCCGAUAAAAUUGUCCACUGCCCUUUUUUUUUUCCUUCAGGAAAAGUAACAGAAAGUAAAUUUAAAGGAAAAAGCCAGUUUCCAUCAACUCAACUCAGUUUGUCCAAUUUGCGCUGCAAAAAAAAAAAUCCCUGAGAGGAGGCGCGUUUGUGAGCGAAAAAAAAACAGAGGGCAGAAUAUCACGUUAAAUGCUCCACUUGAAUCGAGAGAAAGAAAAAAAAAGGGAAAUAGAGUCCUUAUGCUGCCAUCGUCGCUGGAAUCUUCGGAGCUGAGGAUCUCUCGCCGAUGUUCCUCACCAAGAAGCUGACGAGAGUAACGACCACUAAAAGCGGCAAACGGCUCAACGCGUGGAUGCAAAUUGAAAAAAAAAACCACAAACUAGUCCUCACGAUCUUUCACCAACACGCAGGCAGGCUCCGCGCUGGAACGUCCACGGACGGUGUCGCACGGAUCGAGCGCGGGCGAGAGGCGGUGUUAGCAACCAGAAAGGAAGCAGACCAAGUGUGCGCUUCGGAUUUUGCAGCCAUGCUCCCCUGGACCAACCCCACUACCCUCCCCACCCUCACCUCCCCCCACUCUCGCGCACUCCCUCUCCCCUACUCACUGUUGUAGCAGCCGCAGCCCGCUGCAAAAAGUGUCCACAUCCUCCGGGUUGUUACUAUACCGCCGGCUCAUCAAUUGACGUCUCCAAACUGAAAUCGGAGGUUUCCCAAUGAAAAUAA